rnacentral:rRNA from 1 species
CCUACGGGAGGCAGCAGUGAGGAAUAUUGGUCAAUGGACGAGAGUCUGAACCAGCCAAGUAGCGUGAAGGAUGACUGCCCUCUGGGUUGUAAACUUCUUUUAUAUGGGAGUAAAAUGUUCCACGUGUGGGAUUUUGUAUGUACCAUAUGAAUAAGGAUAGGCUAACUCCGUGCCAGCAGCCGCGGUAAUACGGAGGAUCCGAGCGUUAUCUGGAUUUAGUGUGUUUAAAGGGAGCGUAGGUGGAGUGUUAAGUCAGUUGUGAAAGUUUGCGGCUCAACCGGAAAAUUGCAGUUGAUACUGGCAGUCUUGAGUACAGUAGAGGUGGGCGGAAGUCGUGGUGUAGCGGUGAAAUGCUUAGAUAUCACGAAGAACUCCGAUUGCGAAGGCAGUUCACUGGACUGCAACUGACACUGAGGCUCGAAAGUGUGGGUAUCAAACAGGAUUAGAUACCCGGGUAGUC